rnacentral:lncRNA from 1 species
CUUGACCGAUUUUUCUCUCUGGAUCGAGCUCGCUCGAUCGGUGAGCUUUCUUUCUAUCCCUCUCGAUCUGUUAGGGUUUGGAUUUCUGUUCUCUCUCAAUCCGUUCGGGUCUUGGAUUCUGACCUUCCCCUCUCUCGUUCGUUUUCUCUGGUAAUCGCUCUCUCGGUUAGAUCUAACGCCCUCGUUGCGAAUCGCGCCCUUCCGGAGCUCGAGAUACAGUGGUUCGGGUUCAUGCCGAGUUGGAAGCCUCGGCUCAGCUCUCUGUCUCUGGCUCGAUCAGUAUCCGUAUCACUGAUAAACCAGGUAAACUCAUUCCCCUCACUCCCGCUCUGUUGCAAAAAGAUUUGUAGAAGAAUCACGUUCACGUAGUUCAGGUGUGAUUCACUUAAGAUCUGAGCUGUAACUAGAUGACUUGUGAUGGCUCUGUGAUUUUAAUAUUGAUUUUAGAAUGUUAGAUGAGAACAUAGCUUCAGUCCCGUUCCAUAGCUUGAGUUAAUCGUUUUGUUGUACGUGAAGUGUUUGACGAAAUACCUCAAAAGCAUGAGCGAGAAAUAGAUCAUGAUAAUGUCAGAUCUGAAAACGUGUUAAUAUGAAACAUUUCUUAGAAGUUGAUUUACCGAGUAUAUAGAUCUGAUACCACUCAUUGUGCCAUUGUUACUGAACCUGUGUUGUUUAUUGUGUUCUGUGUUCUGAUCUGACCUUCUGUGCAAAAUGAUGUGAGAUGAGUGGG